rnacentral:rRNA from 1 species
GAUGAACGCUGGCGGCGUGCCUAACACAUGCAAGUCGAGCGGACAGACGAGGAUCUUGCUCCGCUGACGAGAGGGGCGGGCGGGUGAAUAACACGAGUAUAACCUACCUAUAAGACUGGUAUCACUUCGGGAAACCGGAUAUAAUCCCGGAGAAGAUAUUGAAGCACGGGGUGCGAUAGAAAAAGACGGCUUUGCUGGCAGGAAUAGAGGGAUCCGGGCCGCAUGAGCUAGUUGGUAAGGUAACAGCUUACCAAGGCUACGAUGUGUAGCCGAGCUGACAGGGUGAUCGGCCACAUUGGAACGGAGACACGGUCCAGACUCCUACGGGAGGCAGCAGUAGGGAAUCUUCCGCAAUGGGCGAAAGCCUGACGCAGCAACGCCGCGUGUGUGAUGAAGGUCUUCGGAUCGUAAAGCUCUGUUACUAGGGAAGAACAACUGUGUAAGUAGAUAUGGCCGUCUUGACGGUACCUACUCAAGAAGCACCGGCUAACUACGUG